GCCCGUGUGUAGAUUAUCUCAGAUGGCCUUUCUCUCGAUCUUUCUUCGGCUCUUUCCUCUCCACUGAAACACGGAAGCGCGAAGACACACAAACAUACACAGACUCUCUCUCUCAUCGAAGAUGGGGAGUAGCUCAGCUCGGGUGACCACUCUCUUCUUCUCUCUCCUGCUUCUAAUCUCAUCUGCCCACUCGUUCUAUCUUCCCGGUGUCGCUCCUCGCGAUUUUCAAAGGGGUGAUCCCCUUCAAGUUAAAGUGAACAAGUUGUCAUCUACAAAGACACAACUUCCAUAUGACUACUAUUUCUUGAAGUACUGUAAACCUACCAAAAUUAUGAAUAGUGCUGAAAAUUUGGGGGAGGUUCUUCGAGGUGACCGCAUAGAGAAUUCUAUGUACACUUUCAAUAUGAGGGAGGAGCAGCCAUGCAAAGUAGCCUGUCGAGUUACGCUUGAUGCUGAAUCUGCAAAGAAUUUUAAGGAAAAAAUUGACGAUGAAUAUAGAGUUAACAUGAUUCUGGAUAAUCUGCCAGUCGCUGUUCUGAGACAAAGGAGGGAUGGCAGUCCGUCAACCACUUAUGAACAUGGUUUCCGUGUGGGGUUCAAAGGAAAUUAUGCAGGGAGCAAAGAGGAGAAGUAUUUUAUAAAUAACCACUUGAGCUUUAGAGUCAUGUAUCACAAGGAUCUUGAGACUGAUUCCGCUCGAAUUGUUAGCUUUGAGAUUACUCCAAACAGUAUUAAUCAUGAGUACAAGGAUUGGGAUGAGAAGAAUCCUCAGUUGACAACAUGCAACCAAAACACCAAAAAUAUAAUUCAAGGUAGCACUGUCCCGCAGGAAGUUGAUACUGAUAAGGUGGUCGUAUUUACAUAUGAUGUUUCUUUCAAGGAAAGUGAUGUCAAAUGGGCAUCACGGUGGGACACUUACCUCCUCAUGAAUGAUGAUCAGAUCCACUGGUUCUCCAUCAUAAACUCUCUGAUGAUUGUCCUCUUCCUUUCUGGCAUGGUUGCCAUGAUUAUGAUGAGAACUCUAUACAGAGAUAUUGCAAACUAUAAUCAAUUGGAAACACAGGAUGAAGCUCAGGAAGAAACAGGGUGGAAACUUCUCCAUGGUGAUGUUUUUAGGGCGCCAAUUAAUUCUGGUUUACUCUGUGUUUAUGUUGGGACGGGUGUGCAGCUCUUUGCGAUGGCUCUUGUGACCAUGAUAUUUGCAGUCCUUGGUUUCUUAUCACCCUCCAACCGAGGUGGGCUUAUGACUGCCAUGGUUCUCUUAUGGGUCUUCAUGGGCUUAUUUGGUGGUUACACCUCGGCACGUCUGUACAAAAUGUUCAAGGGCACUGAAUGGAAAAGAAAUACUUUAAAAACUGCUUUUAUGUUUCCUGGUAUUCUGUUUUCCAUCUUCUUUGUGCUGAAUGCCUUAAUCUGGGGGGAGAAAUCUUCAGGAGCUGUACCAUUUGGGACUAUGUUUGCACUUGUGUGCUUAUGGUUUGGCAUAUCGGUACCCCUGGUGUUUGUGGGCAGUUACUUGGGAUUUAAAAAACCAGCUAUUGAAGACCCAGUGAAGACAAACAAAAUCCCAAGGCAGAUACCGGAGCAGGCGUGGUACAUGAAACCCGUAUUCUCUAUACUAAUUGGAGGCAUUCUUCCAUUUGGGGCUGUUUUCAUCGAGUUGUUCUUCAUCCUGACAUCAAUAUGGCUGAACCAGUUCUAUUACAUCUUCGGCUUCCUAUUCAUAGUUUUUGUUAUCCUUAUUAUCACAUGUGCUGAGAUAGCAAUUGUGCUCUGCUAUUUCCAAUUGUGCAGUGAAGACUACUACUGGUGGUGGAGGGCAUACCUGACAGCCGGCUCUUCUGCUUUAUACCUUUUCCUUUACUCUAUCUUCUACUUCUUUACCAAGUUGGAGAUCACAAAGCUAGUUUCAGGAAUCCUCUACUUUGGGUACAUGUUAAUUGUCUCAUAUGCCUUCUUUGUCUUGACGGGUACAAUUGGCUUCUACGCUUGCUUCUGGUUUGUGCGGAAGAUAUACUCCUCUGUCAAGAUCGAUUGACGUGAUGAAGAUGCUGGGGAAAAGGGUUCUCUGUUUCGAGGAUCAACAAGUGCAUAAUUGGACCAUAAAGUUGACACACUCAGAAAGAAAGGAAGCAGAAAGAGGCAUCUCCUCCACUUUUCUUAGAUGAGGGCUAUGCUCUGGAAAGGUUUCCCACAACCUUGUCACCAAAACCUUUUCAUUUUGCUGAUGAUGGUAGGUUGGAGUUUGGCUCUUGUAUGUUAUCCUUCUUUUUUUUUUUUUUAACAGCAGGGGUAUCAAUUGUUAUGAACAGUAUUUUUCUGGUUGUUUCUACGGAAGAAGAUUUAGUAGUAGAGAGGGGUUGGGCUGUCAUAAAAUUGCCUGAUUUAUCCAUAUCAUCAAUCAACACCCAGAGCCAUCCUGAAUUUAAUGGUAUGUGCCCUUUUGUGGAA